GCUGCAUCUGCUAACUGGCUCUGCUCAGAAUAUUCUCUCCUACUGGGACUGAGGAAAUAGCAGCUUGUUUUUGAUGGCCAGCUAAUUUUUGCUUUAUGUCUUUCUCAUCAACCCGGAAAGGCAGAUUUCCUUCUUUCUAGUUUUUAUUUUUUCUCCAUCCCCCUGGAACUGAAGUCAUUUUUCCCACGGUAUCGCUUUGUAUCUGCAGGUGGAAGAUCACCUGCUCAGCUUGGAAGGGAACGAGAAGCUUCAAGGGACAACUGUCCAGAGACCUUCCUUGCAAGGAACAACACAGAUAACUUUCGAUGUCUCCACGAUGACUACUGCACGAUUACUCAAGUAGACUUCUUGGGUCAGUCUUCCGGAAUGGAGCCUUCACCAUCAUCAGAUUAAUCCCAGCAAGUUCACAGACCAUCUGAAGUUGAGCGGGAUUGGAGACUUUUGGUCCAGUUAUCAGCUCUUCCACUCUUUCUGGAGGAUCUCAACUCAGUUCAGAAAGGAGAAAUCUUCAGAAGGAUGAGAUGAGUGUGUUCCCAUUGCUUUUCCUGCAAACACAACGCAAAACAUGUCAUGCAAUGCCACCAUUGAUGAGUUCCGGAGUCAGGUGUAUCCUGUGACAUACUCCAUCAUCUCAAUCCUGGGAUUUAUGGGAAAUGGCUUCGUGUUGUGUGUCCUCAUCAGGACCUGCCAGGAGAAGACAGCUUUCCAGAUAUACAUGUUCAACCUUGCCAUUGCAGAUCUUCUCUUUGUAUGCACCCUGCCCCUACGAGUGGUCUAUUACCUCUAUAACGGCAACUGGUUCUUUGGUGACUUUUUGUGCCGGAUCAGCUCCUAUGCCAUGUAUGUCAACUUGUACUGUAGCAUCCUGUUCAUGACGGCGAUGAGUUUCUUCCGUUGCAUUGCCAUUGUUUUCCCCAUCUGGAAUAUCCAAUUUAUCUCCCGGAAGAAGGCCAUCAUCGUCUGCGUUGGCAUUUGGUUCUUCGUAAUCGUGACCACCACUCCGUUUUUGCAGAAAAGUGUCCAGUUAUCUGAUGAAAAUAUAACCAAAUGCUUUGAGCCACCGAGGAACAAAGAUGUGAGGAAGCUGAUGGUUCUCCACUACAUUUCACUGUUCGUGGGUUUCAUCUUUCCUUUCAUCACCAUCACCAUCUGUUACGCCAUGAUCCUAAACAAGCUCCUGAAGAAUUCCAUGCAUAAGAAAGAAGGCACUCGUAGAAAAGCCAUCUGGAUGAUCGUGAUUGUGACCGUCGUCUUCCUCGUGAGCUUCACCCCGUAUCAUGUCCAGCGCACGGUCCACCUCCACUUCAUGAAAGACAAGACUUCCUGCGAGAAGAGUCUUUACAUGCAGAAAUCCGUGGUGAUAACCUACUCCCUUGCAGCCUUCAACUGUUGCUUCAACCCACUUCUCUAUUACUUUUCUGGAGGUAAUUUCCGUAGGAGACUUUCCACUUUCCAAAGGGGCUCUAUUUCCAGUUCUCAUCAGCGGAAGAUGUCAAAGAUGGAGGAAGCCGUGAAUGGAAACGCUGUGCUACACAGGAACUUGUAAGGGUCUUUUCAUCUGUUCCUCAUCAAAAACAUACAUUUUGGAAGUGAUGGGAAGACUGUAGGUCUAGCAACCUGUAAAACUCGAACUAUGAGUUGGUGUGAGCAAUGCCCUUGCCAUUAUACCAACUCCCUCCUAACAGAUGCCAACCUGAGAUGCUGGUUAUUGUGUGUCAGUGGUUUAUCUAGUUUCUCAAAAUGCUGCCAAGUUUGAAGACCUCUGAUAUAGACAUUCGCUUGGCCACCACCAGAUUCCUUGCUUCAACUGUAUUUCCAAAUAUGUCUCUGGGACCUGAAUGAAACUUAAAAGAUAUUUUAAGACAUAAAGAUGAUGAUGAAAUCAA